UCAGUGGUACUGCUUGCUUUGUUAAUGGUGCUGCUUAAUACUUCAAUGGUGCUGUUGUUAAGUCAAUGGUGCCGCUUAUCGUCAGUGGUACCACUUGUUACAUCAGUGAUGCCGUUUUUCUGCCUUUAAUGGUGCCGCUUGUUACUGCUCACACUCACCCUGUCAUCAGACCAUCUGUGGAGAAAUGAGAAUCAGAUCCCAGCAUGCCUCUAUUCAGAUGCUGAGGAAGAGCAUCCUCGGAAGCAUUACACUGCUGAAUUCCGAGCGGAGCAGAGACAAACUGAGAAGCGCUAAUGAAGUCUUGGUUAUACUUCAGUGAGCGCAUCGCGUCCUCAGCAUGAUGAGAUGGCUUACUGCACAUUAAUUUGCAGAGACACACCAGCAGCGUUGAAAGCCUCUGUGAACUUGAAGAGAAGCAUAAAGCCAGUCACUGUCAUUGUUCCCUAGACAGUAGAAGAUAACUGUGGAGGCAGAAGUCAGAGUUUGCAAUCUGAUACAAA